rnacentral:rRNA from 1 species
GUACGUGAAACCGUUCAGGGGUAAACGGGAGAAAUCCUGAAUUCGAAAGGGAUCGGAUUCAAGUCCGACCGGCUGUCAGGACGCCUGGCCCCACCAGAUGUUGCUGGUCGCCCGCGGCGAUUUAUUUCGCUUGUGGUGUCGUUCCUGGUGAUCACUCGGUGAGGUGGCGAUGCUCUGGCACCGGAGGAGUGCACUUCCCCCCUAGUAGAAACGUCGCGACCCGUUGGGUGCCGGUCUAAGGCCCGGGAAGGCAGACCGUGUGUCCUGUGAGGGCUCUCACAGGCGUGCGGACUCUUGGUGACCCGGCCGGCUGCUCGACGGUAUGACCAGAGGAGUCGAUCCGCUGAAUGGGAAACACUUUGGAUGUGUAGCGUCCGGCCCGGCGCCGAUACGUGCGGGGAUUGAGGUGAAAGCCGGGGGUGUCCGUGCGAAGCACGGCCCCGGCCCCGCUGCGUUUUCGGAAUGUCGGUGUCCUCGGACUGGAUCGUUACUCCCGUCUGCGACGCCCACCUUCGGAUGG